UGGGCAGAAGGCUUGUGACAGGCAGCUGAAGGACAGCAACACUUGUGCACCAGCCACUUCUGUUGCUUAUUUGAUAGAGACCCUGUGCAGAGUGGAGCCAAACCUUGCACCCAGCCUGCUUCAAGCUACAAGAUCCAGAACACAGUUAAGAAAAACUGAGAACUGUUAAGAAGAAACCAAUGAGCAUUGUUCUCCUAAUCACAUAUGGGAUCCUGGAGGAAGAUAAUAUUCCUGGCUGUGGCCUCUCUGGGACUACAGGACUCCUCUCUCUCAUGCACCGCUUGUCCCUCUGAUGCUAAACCCAAGCUUCUACCAAAAAAAGCAAUGUGUAACCAUUGGAUGUGAUGGCUCCCUGCUCUCCUAAGGAUGGCUGAACACCUGCCUGCCCACAGGGAAUGGUGAAUUAAUCCCUUGUUUUGUUUUGCUUUGCAUGCAUGGCUUCUGCCUUCCCUUUUAAACUGUCAUUAUUUCAACCUGUGAGUUUUCUUGCUUUUACUCUAUUGAUCUUCUCCCUGAUCCUGCUGGUAGGGGAGCAAGUGGGGCUUGGUUCCUGGCUGAGGUUACACCCCAACAUCAACUUACAUAGAAAGGAUGUGGGUCACAAGAAGCUUCUGGUGCAGCCAGAGUUUGGCACAUGAAUGUACCUGAGGUAACUUGUGAUUGUUUGCCUGCCUCUCUGGGAUCUAUCCUGGUGC